rnacentral:tRNA from 1 species
GAGGCUAUAGCUCAGUAGUAGAGUGUAUGGUUAGCAUGCAUGAGGUCCUGGGUUCAACCCCAGUACCUCU